CAGCAGCCGCGGGAAUACGUAGGGUGCGAGCGUUAAUCGGAUUUACUGGGCGUAAAGCGUGCGCAGGCGGCCCGUUAAGACAGGUGUGAAAUCCCUGGGCUCAACCUAGGAAUUGCGCUUGUGACUGGCGGGCUCGAGUACGGUAGAGGGGGGUGGAAUUCCUGGUGUAGCAGUGAAAUGCGUAGAGAUCAGGAGGAACACCGAUGGCGAAGGCAGCCCCCUGGGCCUGUACUGACGCUCAUGCACGAAAGCGUGGGGAGCAAACAGGAUUAGAGACCCCCGUAGUCCCUGUCUCUUAUAA
rnacentral:rRNA from 1 species